UUAGUGGCGGACGGGUGAGUAACGCGUGGAUAACCUGCCGUAUACAGGGGGAUAACGCUUAGAAAUAGGUGCUAAUACCGCAUAAGCGCACGGUUCCGCAUGGAACAGUGUGAAAAACUCCGGUGGUAUACGAUGGAUCCGCGUCUGAUUAGCCAGUUGGCGGGGUAACGGCCCACCAAAGCGACGAUCAGUAGCCGGCCUGAGAGGGUGAACGGCCACAUUGGGACUGAGACACGGCCCAAACUCCUACGGGAGGCAGCAG
rnacentral:rRNA from 1 species